GUCUACAGCCAUGCCACACUGAACGCACCCAAUCUCAUUUGAUCUUGGAAGCUAAGCAGGGUCGGGCCUGGUUAGUACUUGGAUGAGAGACCCCCUAGGAAUACCAGGUGCUGUAGGUG
rfam:Pteropus alecto contig95758, whole genome shotgun sequence.